rnacentral:lncRNA from 1 species
CCGAUGCAUGAGAUAGCAAUAGAUGAUGAACUGCAAUGUAUGGCUCUACUGAGGAGUUACCCCUAGAACAAUUCACACCAAAUGGAGCUGAACACCGUUGUGGCGGAAGAAAUCCAAUAUCAUAACCCCCAAGUGAAAAAACAUUAGGUUCAUUCAUGGUAGUCCAAUACAGAACUCUGUCGCCAAAAGUUUUGAAGCAUACAUCUGCAUAUGCUGUGAAGUCUUUUCUGCAGCCAUAAAAUUGUUUAAUCACAUUCGUUUUGUUUCGUCUUGAUGCAUUAAAUUUACAAACAAAAGGUAAGAAACUAUACACAAUCUCUCGACCAACCCAUCCUCCAUACUCGUCUUCAAGUGCUUGUGGGAGAUCACUGUGGUGUAAAGUAACAUGCGGCUGAAUUCCCGCUUGAAAUAAAGAAUACUAAGAUCAGUGAUUUGGAAGUGGCAUUUUUGUUUUUAAAUCCCAAGGAAAUUGUAAAAUUAAUGUAGAUAGUAACCAUUGCUGAUUAGUUCAUCAAUAAGAUUGUUAUAAUAUUGUACACCCUUCGGAUUCACAGGUCCUUUUCCAUCUGAAAGAAAAAGAAAAUGAAAAUUUAAUACUAAAGUGCGACAAGAAUAAAAGAACCCUAAGAACCGGAAAUCGCUUCUUGUAAGUUUAAAAUGAGUAUCAAUUGAUGAUCAUACUUGGGAUAAGUCUUGACCAUGAGAUUGAAAAUCUAUACGCCUCUAAACCCGUAUCCGCCAUUAGUUUGACAUCUUCCUGCAAUUGUUUGAAAGAACUUGAUCAUGUGAUGUGUAUUAGUUAGCAUCAAUGCCUUUUUGAUUAGCUGUUUUGGUAAUGAAUCUUGUGAUUGCAUAGGAUGAUAUGGUUUCGUGCAAAAAGAAAAGAAGAAAAACAGUGGACUAGUAAAUGAAAGGAUUGCCAACAAAAACUAAAUUCAAUUUCAUUAGUUAUAUACCUUGUAUUUGUGAUACUCAUCACACGCUACAUCUCCAGUGGCUCCAUCAAAAUUCCCUGAAAAUUUCAGUUAAGAAAUAUCACUUGGCUUGCAAACUGAGAAAAUUAUGUACGCGAGCUAAAAAAGCUAGCAAACCGGCAUGAGCAAAUGUGUCCAAGAUGCUUGGGGUCCUCCCAUCUUCGUCUGCAGCACCUUCCACCUUUUUUCAUGUAGAUUUUUGAACCAACCCAACCCCAUUACUUGAUCAGCUUCUUCUCUUGAUCUUGUUUCAAUUGAUAAAAAAAAAUAAAAAUUAAAGAAAAUUAAGAAAAUUCACCUGAUAAGCAGAGGAGGAAGCACCAAAAACAAAGCCCGGUGGGAAGUCAUCUCUGGUAAAGUUGUCUGUGCCUGAAGAAAAUUUUAUGAGAAGAAAACACAGCAGUAGUGAAACUUUCAACAUUAAUUCCAACUGCCAAACUCACUGCUUAUUGCUUAAGCCAAGUUCAACUUAUUAGUAGGAUACGGAAUAUCUUUCGAGAAAACUAGAAGGCAAACUUACACUUACAAAAAGAGAUUUGAGUGGCCACCCUUUACCUCUAUCCUUACUUCAGUUGACGACCAUAACGUUCCACGUCGGUCAUAACGCUCCACGUCGAUAUUCCAGUAAACUCUAAAUCUGCUUUUUGUUUUUGUUUUUUCUUGGAAUGUCACGAGACUCCAAUUUUUUACUUUUUCUCCCAAAUCUUGUUCCUCGACAGUCCUCGUCUCCAUUUUAGAAUUUGUUGGCUUUUUAAGUGUGAACUAACUACGUUGGUUGGCUUUUAUUGAAAUUAUUUAAUGACAAAUGAGACAAAUUGUUCCCGUUGGUGGAAGUUUGAAAGUAAAUUAUUCCACAUUGGAGGAAACAAAUAGUUCUAUGCUUUGGAGAAUUCUACUAACUUUCUCUCUAACCUUCUUUUUUGGACCUUCUCCCUUCUUCUAAUGACAUGUGUCAUUUUCUCUACCCUUAAAACAAUGACAUUAAUGCCUUAGACAAUAUAUCUUUUGUUCAUAAAUUUACCCUUAUUAAAUGUAUUAACUUUAUAUUUCCUUCAAUUUACAACUUAACUUAAACAAUCAAAUUUAAAAAAAAUAAACACUAAAAGUUCAAUCAAAUAAAUAUUUGAAAAUAAAAACGAAUUAUACUUCCCUAAAACAAAACUUGUUUUUUUUUUCCAAAAAUAAGUUUUUCAAUAAAACUGCUAAAAUUUAUGGAAUAAAAAAAUUAAUAAAUAUUUUUUUAAAUUAAUGAACAUUCUAAUUGAUUGAAAAAGUUAAAAGAUAAAAAGAAACUAAAAAAAAAAAAUCCCAAACCCAUUACACCAUCUCUCUCUCUCUCUCUCUCACACACACACACACACCCAAAACCCAGUCCCCUCCCUUGGCCAAAACAAAGCCCCCAUCCUUACCCAAUCAUCAUCAUUUCUCUCCAAUCCAAAACUCCACCAUGCAUUGUGCUUCUCACUCUCUCUCCUCCUUCCAUUCCAUACCUAAAAACCCAUCUCCCCUCCACUCACCAAAAAAAGAGUAAACAGAAAUUUUUUAUUUUAAACAAAACUAACGUUAAUUUGGUGGAAGAUGUUAAAAUUCUCUCUUAAUUUUUUAACAAAGUGGAAACAAAAAUUAGUUUGUCCAAUGUAUUUAAUAAGGGUAAAUUUGGGAAACAAAAGAUGCAUUGUCAAAUGUAUUAAUGACAUUGUUCUAAGUGUAUAUAAAGUAACACAUGUCAUGAAGAGAAGGGAGAAGGUCCAAAAGAGAAGGUUAGAGAGAAUGUUGCUAGCAUUAAGGUUAGAGAGAAUGUUGCUAGCAUUCCCCUUAUCCUUUAUAAGUGUGAUACUUUUACACCAAUUAAAAAAGAUUGGUGGGUUGAUGGGUUGAUGGGCUUGAUAGUGAAGGCUAUACAUUGUUAGUUUGAUUAAUAAUAUUAAAUUAAUCAAGACUUGGGCUUUGGGCUCUCUGGAAAAACUAAUAAAGACACUUAAUCUGAAAAUAAAUUUUAUUUUGAAUAAUAUUACUCUUACCACAUUUGUACACCACAUUUUUAUACCAUCUUAUGUGGCAGCUGAGGUGGACAGCCACAUCAAUUAAAAUUAUUUAAUAUUUUCUUUUCUUUUAUGAUUUAUUUCAAUAUUUGUUUUUCUAAUUGCCUUAACUAAAAUACACUUAAUUGAUUUAAUUGAUGUGACAUAUAAUAUGGGCAUGCCACAUCAUGUGGUAUAGAAAUGUGAGAUAAAAUUGUGGUAAGUGUAGCAUUACUCUUUUAUUUUUGUUCACCCGUUUUAUGUUCGUUCCUGUGAUGGUAGGGUAAAGUUCCCAAUUGCCUUGAAAACCAUUGACUGGUCAACAAGUCAACUUUCUUUGGUGUGCGAGUGUGCCACUGCUAGCAAUGAGGAUUCUAGUAGACUUCUUAAAAAUAGAUUACUUGUGCCCCAAGUUACUGAUUUCUAAACAAGCGAUUGUGAAUUUGGGUGAGGAAUAUCUCUCAAGUAAGUUCUUUUCUUGCCUCAGACUGGUGAGGACUUUCACAAUUUUUCACAGUACAAAACUGGUAGUUCUUGCCAGAAUAAAUGAUAAGAUAACGAACAGUUUUUUUAGGCAGAGUUGCCUUUACAAAACUCAAAAGGGAAGACCAACUCUAAAAAGACAAAAAGAGAGCCGGAUUUCAAUUUCUGCCUGGAUAAAUGCUUCUGAUCCUGGCUGAAUUGGAUAUAUCUGUGCUGGAUUGGACCAUCAACACUUUCAACUGUCAAGUUUCAGCUGUAAAUCGAUACCAAUGUUCGAGUUUGGCAGGGCUUUAAUCUAUUUCAAGCCCUGGAAGGCUUUUUGAAUGGGCAGAAUUGGAACCUCUUUAGUCUGGAAAGGGCAGAAGUGGCUAGUCUUGAUGAUUACUGAGUUGGAACUGCACUGUAGUACCUAUUCUGCUUGAUCAGGGCUCUCUAUAAAUUUGUUGAGGUUUUCAUAUUUGUAAAACCCAAACUCUGCUUGAUUUGGCUUAUGCUGGACCAAAUUUGUAACGAGAGAAAUCUCGUUUUGAAUGAUUUAUUUCUCUAAGUCUGAACUAGAGUUGGAAAUUUUGAUUUGUAGCUGGCUUCUUUUUUGUGGCUCAAUGAGCUUUUGGUUGCUUCAGUAUUUUUGAAGGUUUUUGGGAUCAAGUGAUCAUUUUGAGUUUUUGCUUUUGAUUGAUUUUUUUGGUUGUUCUCGAUAUGUUCACCUCCUCUCAUAUUUAUAGAAAAUGCGGGAGUGGGGCUUCUAAUCUUUUAAUAAUGGGCGGCAAAUGUUUCAAAAACGAGUUCUUUUAUUUUAAAUGCAAAGAAAAAGGGAAGUUAUCUGUUUUGGCAAAGAAGAACCAUCAGUAGUCAGUUUUCAUGGAGGUGUUUUCCUUGCUUUUCUGAAAGAAAAACUAACUCUUCUUUGUUCUCUGUUUGAUCUUGGUAAGGAGAAAGAACACAAUCUGACGUGAUGGUCAGUUUGCUUUAGUAGUCUAAAAGGUAUUUUUGGAAUUAGACGACAUGGAAGCACAAUGUCCUGCCCUAAACCAAGAACGCAAAAACCAAAAAACAUAUUGGAUAUCCAUCUUUACUUGUUUAUUUUACUAGAAUUUUUCAAGGACACAGACAGAAUUUCUAGGGGGAGUAAAAACAUGCAUCUUUCUUUACACUCCAUCGGUAUUUAACAAUGUAUAUAUAGUGAAAUCUACUGAAUGCGAUCAUGGGAAAUGGAUUUAAUAAACCCAUCUAAGCUGAUGACGUUCUUUCUCUUUAAAAACUGGGAGUACCAGUGAGCAGAGAGUUUGGGUUGUCUUCUUAAAUCGGGGUCAUCCAAAUCGAUGUAGUAGAGGCCGUAGCUCGAUUCAUAGCCGUCCAACAGCUCAAGGGAAUCCAAGAAGGACCAUAUAAAAUAGCCUCUGACGUUUGAUCCAUUCCUUCCAAAGUAAAUAUUUCAUAGCAUCCAUUAGUAAUUUAAACACAGGUAUUAUAUCUUUCCGCAUCUCAUAAACACCUUUAUUUGGACUUGGCCAAUUAUCCUUUACAAAAUGGAGAGAACAUCAUAAAUCAUAUAACCGUCGGCUUAAAUUAUAAUCGACAGAAAAUAGGUAUACCUUACAGCUUCAAGCAAAUUUUGGAUGUGUCCGUCCAAAUAUUUCACCCUUGGCCAAUCCUCUAAUGAUGAAUUGCGUCGAGUUCGUUGACCUAAAAUAUAUUGGAUGCCAGACUUUUUUCAUUAAAAUUUCAUCAUUUUGAAGAGUUUAGUUGUUUUGUCUUUUUGCUGCGUUAUGUUUUCUCACAUUAUAUAUGUCUUCAUAUAAAUGCACUCUAGCAGUACUUUGAUUAAAAUUCACUAUUUAGGGGAGAGAGAGAGAGAGAGAGAGAGAGAGAGAGAGAGAGAGACCAUUUUCUUGGAUAUAUAUUGGAGGAUUUCCAUAGUUUUGCUUGACAUAUUCCAGUAGUCGUUGCAGGCCCCAGGGAGUUAUUGGAAACUGAAGUCAAAGAAAUCGAUCAGUAAUAAGGCUCUGAAAUUAACCCCAUAAGCAGUGAAUUGAUUACGUUCAAGCUUCUACCUCAAAUGUUGUAUCAUUUUGUAGACCUGCAUGUGAAAUUAAAGAAAGUUUGAAAGCUAUCACAUGAACAAUGCACAAAUAUUCCUUGCACAUGAGCAAUGAACAAAAAGAAGAAAUGAACAAUGCACAAACAACCAUCACAAACACAACAAAUGAACAUUGUGAUUUCGAAUGAUCUUCAUAGAGGCUAAUUUUGUUUAUGAUAUACUUUUCAGCAUAUUUCGGUCAUUCAUAUCAUAUUUGGGACUACACACUCCUUGCCUUUGCAGUGUCUGCUUGAAGUGCUCAGUUUUCUAGGUUUGCGUUGUACUUUUAUUUUUAGUAAAAAGGGAAAAGGAAAAGAAAAGGCCAUCAGCAUGGUACAGAAAAUUCACAAAUUUGAACAAAAAAAGGCAUCUGUAUACAUACUACAUCAGUUUUCUCCCUACACAACAUGCAUCCUUUAAAGAAAGGACAUCCCAGUAAAAUAUUUCUAACAUAAUCUCUCUUUAUUUUUUCAUAUCAACGCUACUGGCACAUUGUAGGGGACAAGGUGUCAUGCAAGCAAUGACGUUGAGAUUGGUUUUGAUUCAGAGUGGGUAAAACGGAUAAUGGACUACUUAACAACAGUCACUUUUUCGGUGCUCUGGAAAGGCAAUCCAUUCGGGCAUGUUAUUCCUCAGAGAGGGUUAAGACAAGGGUACCCCCUUUCACCAUACCUAUUUUUAAUGUGUGCUGAAGGCUUUUCAAGGAUGUUGCAGGAUGCUGAAAGGAUAGGGAGUUUGCUUGGGAUUUGAAUUGCUAAUGGAGCUCCAUCAGUUAAGUCAUUUAUUCUUUGCAGAUGAUAACAUUCUCUUUUUGGAUGCAACCAAAGAGUCAUGUGAAAACAGUGAAUAAUAUAUUUCAAGUGUAUGAGGAGACUUCCGGGCAGAAGAUCAACUUCACAAAGUCGGCUUUAACUUUGAGCCCAAAUGCUACUGCUGUUGAAAAACAAAGUCUUGGAUUUGCUGGAAAUUCCGUUGGUGUCUUGCCAUGAAAAAUAUUUAGGUUUGCCUAUCGUGACGGCCAGGGGAAGAAAGCAAAUUUUAGAGAUUGUCAAAGAUCGAAUUAGAAGACGAAUUAGUCGGUGGAAGGAAAAGCUCUUAUCUAGAGCUGGUAAAGAGAUCUUGAUUAAAGCUGUGUUGCAGGCUAUGCCCACCUACUCGAUGAGCUGCUUUCGGAUGCCUAAGGGAAAGUGUAAGGAGCUUCAUGGCAUGAUGGCUAAAUUUUGGUAGUCUAAGAGUAAGAAUAUGUGAGGUAUUCAUUGGACUAAGGGGGAAACAUUAUGUGUGAGCAAGCAGAUUGGAGGAUUGGGAUUUAGAGACCUUGAGGCUUUUAAUCAAGCUCUCCUUGCAAAACAAAGUUGGAUAUUAUUUUUUAAUUGUAAUUCCUUCACAAUGAGAAUUUUUAAGGCAUGAUAUUUUCCGCAUUGUAAUUUUCUAGAUGGGAGGGGCAUCGACCCUCACUUAUUAGGAGUUCGUUGAUAUGGGGUAAGGAUUUGUUGAAGGCGGGUUUGCUGUGGAGAGUGGGAAAUGGUGAAGAUAUAUAGGUUUAUCAGGAUCAUUAAUUGGGUGCCUUUACCAAUGAAUUUCAAGAUUAUCUGAACGCCACAAUUUGAUGCUUCUAUGAAAGUAUGUGAGUUGUUUACUACAGCAGGACUAUGGGACGAGGAGUUACUAACAGCUAAUUUUUGGGAACAGGAAGGGGAGGCUAUCCUCCAAAUUCCAUUGGCUUCAAAUAAUAGAGAGGAUAAAUUAAUUUGGUACUAUGAUCGAAGCGGUAAAUACUCAAUUAGAAGUGGUUAUAUGGUUGCAUGCAUGAAGAAACAGUGGGAAAAUAGCAUGGAAGGGUCCUCGGUACAAGAUGAAAAAUUGUUAUGGAAAAAGUUGUGGAGUUUGCAGGUGCCUAAUAAGAUCAUAUUCUUUCUAUGGAGAUGAAUAUGGGGGUUUUUGCCUAGCAGACAAAACCUUUACCAUAGGAAGAUCUUGAAUUCUCCAAUAUGUCCACGUUGUGGGAAGAAAAUGGAGUCAGUUAUUCAUGCAAUAUGGGCUUGUAAUGAAGUGAAGACAAUAUGGUCUUUUUCACAUUGGAGUGGAGAAUCUGGUGGAAGAUAUCAAAGAGAUGCGGGGGUGGUUUUAGAUCUUUCUCAUGCAACUGGCAACGACGAGAUGGCAAUAGGGUUGCUCAUGUGCUAGCUCAAUAUGGGACUAGGAACGCUGGUUUUUCCACAUAGAUUGAGGAGGAGCCAUUAUGGCUGAUUUCUUUGCUUUUUGCAAAUUUAAAAGCCAAUGGCUUAUUUUGUGUACGAUGGCAAGUGGAAGGCGCUCUUUUUCCUUUAGCGGAUUUUCCUCUUUUUUUGGGGGUUUUUUUAUGCUAAAGGUUUUUUUAUAGAGGCCCAAGCAUGCAAAUCUUUUUGCCUUCUUUUCCGUGUAUUAUGUUGUUUGGUUAUUGAAUAAAAUUCCUUUCAUAAAAAAAAAAAAAAAAAACUUAUAUAAUAUCUCAACUGGUGGAUACAUGCAUUAGACAUGACAUUGAAAUAUUCAUAAUGCAUAUGCACAUUAUCGACAUGGUAUCAAGGAGACAAAGAAGCUAAGGGUGGCAGAGGAGGCCUUGGCCGAAGCCAACGAAAGUGGAGGAGGUCACUGCUGCUCAUACCAAGGCAGUGAAGGAGUACAAGGCUUCGGAUGAGUUCAAGAACCUUGUACUUGAUGGGAUGGUGGAGAAGCAAUUUGGCUGGGAUAAGCUUGUGGUGAGGUUCAAUCCUAUAGUAGAGAUAAACUUUGACACCAACAGCGUUCCACCUCCCAUCCCUCCUGGCAACAAUGGAUGUUUGCUUCCCCAUCAUUUGCUGAUACAGCUAUUUCGCCCAAUCAUGAAGUUGAUGCUAGUGUCGAAGAUAGAGGUGGCAGUGAAACCAAAGACAUCGAGCAGAUUGCUGAAGAGGUCCAGGGCAUGGAUGCCGAAGCCAGAGGGCUUGUAUGUUUUGUUUGCGUAUGUAACAUGUAAUUUGUUUAAACAGUUUGAAAGUGUCGAUAGUACUCAUUUUUGUAUAGAUGUGUUGCCCUGCCAUAAGGCGGAGUUACUUUGGUAUAAAUUGUCGUAUAGUUUAACAAAUGUCUUGUUUAAAUGACGAUCGUACGUGUGUGCCGAAGGCAGUUGUAUUAGUAGAAAUGAGUCAGGGUCAGGCGGUUCAUUAAGUAAAUACCAAAAAGCAUAAGUAUAUAAGAAGCUUGUUAAAGUGUAAAACAUAAGUGUCGAAGGUAAGAUCCUUUUAGUGUUUAUUUGUAAUAAUACUUAAGGUAAUCAGCAUUAAAUGGGUGAGGUAGGGGCUUGCCGUUAGAACCACGAAGCUGGUAAGUGCCGGGGCGGCAGACAUUAAUGAGUUCAUAGGGUUCUUCCCAAGUUGGGUCGAGGGUACCUUCGGCAGAGUUCUUAGUUGCCAAUGAAACGUUGCGCAUGACCUAAUCUCCAGGUUUGAAGGCACAAGGCUUAACAUGAGAGUAGAGUCGUAGUACUUGGCCACGCACUACUUGUAAGCGAAGUUAUGUAUGUUGGCUUGGUUAUGUAACUUGUCAAUGAGGUCCAGGUUGAGAAGCAACUACUUGUCAUUGGCUUCGGCGUCAUAUGCUGACAUUCGAUAGGAAACCCGGCCAAUUUCUACUGGGACUACAGCUUCAGUGCCAAAGGAAAAAGAGAAGGGUGUUUCUACAAUAGAAGUGUGACAAGUUGUUCAGUACAACCAUAAGAGCUCUAGGAGCAGUUUAGGCCAACAACCUUUGACUUUGUCAAGCUUUGUCUUCAAAGUCUUCUUGAUGAUCUUGUUAAUUGCUUCGACCUGUCCUUUAGAUUGGGGAUGGGCAGGAGAGGCGAAGCAAAGGUGGAUUUUGAGGUUUAAGCAGAAUUGGCAUUAUCGAAUUGCUUACUGUUGUCCGUGAUGAUUGCCUAGGGUAUACCAAAGCGACAAAUGAUAUUUUGUCAAACGAAGUUCUUGACAGGAUCUGCUAUGAUGGUAGCUAGGGCUUCAAUUCCAUCCCACUUGGUAAAAUAGUGUACGGCAACGGCAUACUUGACCUGGCCCUUUCCCUCUGGCAUAAGUCCAAUGAGGUCAAGUCCCCACUGUUUGAAUGAUCAUGUCACUGGAGUUAACGAUUCAGCAGUGAGUUGAGGGAUGACAAACCUUUGGCAUUUGUCGCAUUUCUGGGUGAAGACCUGGGCAUCAGUAUGUAUAGUAGGCCAAAAAUAUCUCUACCUAAUGACCUUAUGGGCGAGAGAUCGAGCACCAGAAUUGUUGCUACAGAUGCCCUCAUGGAUCUCCCGAAGGAGAUAGUUGCCUUCUUCUAGUGUGAGGCACUGAAGGUUGAAGAGGCUGAAACCGUGAUUGUAUAAGGCGCCAUUAAUAAUUAGGUAUCAGGCUGAAAGGUAUCGAAUGCGAUGUUCUUCAGCAAGGUCGCAUGCAAUGUUUAAUUCUAUAGGAAUUGGAAUGUGGGAUCCAUCUAUGUUGCAUUGUGGUUAAUGGUGCAGAUGGCAGCCGUUUGUGUGCUGGGUGCCUCUAGUAAUUCCACGUGGAUCUUACAACCGAGGCUUGGUCCACGGACAAAGCCAACCUUGUCAAGACAUCAGCGUGGCUGUUUUCAGAGCUUGGGAUCUUAUUGAUGUGAUAAACAUUGAAGGUUUACAGCAAUUGGUGGGCAUACUGGAGGUAUGUUGUCAUGGAGGUGUCUUUGGCAAGGAAGUCAUGAUUGACUUGAUGAACAACCAGCUAAAAAUCGCUGAAUAUCUGAAUCUAUCUAGCUCCCAUGUCUUUGGCUAGCUAAAGACUGGCUAAUAAUGCUUCAUAUUCAGCCACGUUGUUGGUGGUCUGAAAGUUGAAGGGCGUACUCCAGAACCACCUUAUCUGGAGAAGUGAGGACCAAGCCUGCCCCACAAGCUUGGGAGUUGGAAAAUCCAUUGACAUGAAGGGUCCAUAAUGGCUCAUUGAGGUCAAAGUUGCGUGCAGCAACAAGAUGGACGAGAUUCGGGGUUGGCAUAGGUUCGGCAAUAUUAGCGGUGGUCCUAGACAUAGAAAAUCACUAUAUAAUAUACACAUAUAUAUAAGCAAAAACUUACUCGUAAUCUUUAUUCCCGAGUCUGCAUUAAAGUCUCUCGUUUCCUUCUUUAAGACGCUAGAGUAGUCCGUGGCGUAUAAUGUGUUAUAAUAAUUAAUUCCCAGGAAGUCACAUGAACCCUUCACACUUUCGGACUCCAAACUAGUAAAGGCAGGAAGUCUAGAGCCUGCGUUCUUUUUCAUUACAUCAGGGUAAUCUCCAAACACCAAGGGAUUCAAAAUCCUACGGCACAAAACAGAUACACGAUAAUUACACUUUGGAUGAUAUCGCAUUUGAAGACAACUAAUAAAUUAUCAAUAUUCAUUGAUGGAUCCUUUAAAUUAUAUUUCAAACAAGCAUGUAUGUAGAUUAUAUUUCAAACAAGCAUGUAUGUAGAUUUGAGGAACAUCAUGUUAGGCCCCAUUUCACAUUAUAUUUCAAACAAGCAUGUAUGUAGAUUAGAAGAUAACUGUACAUAGAGAGAGAGAGAGAGAGAGAGAGAGAGAGAGGUGGAAUUCCACAAUUCCACAGUUUCAGACUUACCAACCAGAAUAAAAGUCGAGGGCUCUUUGGGCCGCAAGUUCAUCUUCAAUGGUUUUUGUUAGAGGAACAAACCAAUAGGCAAAUACAUUGAUUCCUACAAAUCCAUGUUGCUUGUCCUGCAUCCCAAAAAUUUCAUUACAUUGAUCAACCUUUAUUUUUUUGUGAGAAGUCUGCUUUUAUUAGGAGCCUUAAUGUUACUAGUAGUCUUUGUUUUAUUAGGCCUGGUAUCUUUCAGUUUAUGCGAGUCUGUAUUGUCUGCUUUUUGAAUGGUCUUAUCUUUAUCACUACAUAGUAUAAGUAGGAGGGCAACAAUCUAUUGCAGAGUUUUCUCUUCUUAUAUAUGUUUUUUUUUUCCGAGGACCUUUCCUAAUGAGAGGAGCGAUAGAAUACUAAACUCACACACACUACACGGAUGCUAGGACUCGAACUCAGGACCUUCUGGGAGGAGCAUUUGCUCUAAACCGCUACACUAGUGAAUCCUUUGCUUCUUUUAUAUGUUUUUAAUUGAAAGGAAACUAUUGUAGAUAUAACUAAGAUGAAGAGUAGAGGUACAAAAAGAAUUGCAAAAAUAGUUGUGAAGUCUUCUCUGCUAUUUGUCUCUUGCUCUUCCCAUUUCCCUUCAAUUUAUGUUUUUGUUUUUUUGGCUUCUGACUAUAGUCUUACUUGUAAAGGUUUGAUGUUCUUAAAUUAAAAUCGAAAGGCCUAAGUGACAGUAGCAGUGGAACUUUUGUAUAACCGUUGGAUUUCAGGACAUAAAACAUUUGAGGAUUGUAUUCUUAACUAUCACAAAGAUAAAAGGUUUUAUAAUUACCUGGUACUUUUUCUUGUACAAUCUAGCUGCCGAUGCAUGAGAUAGCAAUAGAUGAUGAACUGCAAUGUAUGGCUCUACUGAGGAGUUACCCCUAGAACAAUUCACACCGAAUGGAGCUGAACACCGUUGUGGCGGAAGAAAUCCAAUAUCAUAACCCCCAAGUGAAAAAACAUUAGGUUCAUUCAUGGUAGUCCAAUACAGAACUCUGUCGCCAAAAGUUUUGAAGCAUACAUCUGCAUAUGCUGUGAAGUCUUUUCUGCAGCCAUAAAAUUGUUUAAUCACAUUCGUUUUGUUUCGUCUUGAUGCAUUAAAUUU